GAAUAUUGCACAAUGGGGGAAACCCUGAUGCAGCCAUGCCGCGUGUGUGAAGAAGGCCUUCGGGUUGGAAAGCACUUUAAGCAGUGAGGAAGGGUUGAACGCUAAUACCGUUCAACAUUGACGUUAGCUGCAGAAUAGGCACCGGCUAACCCCGUGCACGCAGCCGCUGUAAUACGGAGGGUGCGAGCGUUAAUCGGAAUUACUGGGCGUAAAGCGCGCGUAGGCGGUAAUCCAAGCUGGGUGUGAAAGCCCCGGGCUCAACCUGGGAAUUGCAUUCAGAACUGGAUUGCUAGAGUACAGAAGAGGGGUGUGGAAUUUCCGGUGUAGCGGUGAAAUGCGUAGAGAUCGGAAGGAACAUCAGUGGCGAAGGCGACACCCUGGUCUGAUACUGACGCUGAGGUGCGAAAGCGUGGGUAGCAAACAGG
rnacentral:rRNA from 1 species